GGUAAAAUGGCUGAGAGCAAGCAUUAGACUGUAAAUCUAAUUACAGAGGUUUAUCCCUCUUUUUACCA
rnacentral:tRNA from 1 species